UGGCAUUUGUCUUGGUAUUGGUGGGGAUGAUUUAAAAUGAGCGGUCGAUUGAAUCGAUGAUUUUAUUGGGUACAUCUUCUCAAUCAUCAACAUGUAGUAAGAAAAAGUUUUUUUAGUUCGUGACGUUCAAAGUUAUUAAGAUUUAUUUGUGAAGAAAAUAAAAUAUCAAAAGAUCGUUUCAAAGUUUUGUGAUAGUUUUCGAAGUGAAUUCAGUUCGUGAAUUGGCGCCAAAACAUUUCAUUGACGGGCAGCCAUUAGCCAAAGGAAAAAAACUGGCGCGAUUCGAAAAUGGAACAAUAACCUCUAACUCGGCCACGGGCGCUCGUAAAAAGACAACCCGCUCCAAUAUUUGCUGCACGCUCGAACAUCGAAUAUUCUUUCAUCGAUGCAGCAAUUCAGCAACGAUAUGUAGCGUGGACUGUGCGAUACUCACCCGAAACACAUUCGAAUAACAAGAGACACAUUCAACAGAAACCACAAAUUCGCUGUACUAACUCCAUUCUUGCCCAAUUUUAAUUUUUUUUAAAACAACACAAUCUCUUAUUCUGGUUAUAUUUAAGAUCAAUAUUUAGUUCUAAACAUCAUUUUAUAAUACAACAGUGUAAGCGGCUGAAAAUUGUACUACCAGUAAUUCUUUUUAAUACAAAAAUGGUUACAUAAUGCGUAAGCCGAUGUAUGUUGAGUACUUGAUAUGUAUCGAUUCGACAACUUCGCUGAGUGCAAGUAAAAAUGUUGACAUACUAAUAGUGACGUGACUACAGAAUCUUUGUUAUCUUUACCAAAAAUACCGGAUUUUUGACGACUUUUGUCGACAAUUCAAACCAAUAUAAUCUUUAAAUUACAAAAACGUAAUUUUUGUUCAAAUAACAUUGACAAACAUCUAUUUUUAUAUUAUCUCCAUCUACGUAAAAAUUAUAUACAAUAUAAUAAUAAUAAUAUAUAAUAUAAUAAAUGAAAUUUAAUAAUAGCAAUUUUCUUGCCUGUAUGUACUCAGACGUUAGAAUCUUGUUCACUAUAACUGCAUUAAAAAAAAACUGAACAUUAUAAAAUUAACUGCAGGUCUUGAUUUUGGUAAACAAAAAAUUUGUUUUCAUAUUCCAUAUUGAAAUAUCAAAAUAAACUCUUUGACAAACAUUGCACUAAAUAAUUUAUCGAAACUAAAUAUAAAUGCUAUUUUUCUGUAAAAUUGUUUAAAGCACAGCUGCGUAAAACAAAUAUAUUACAUUCCUAAACCGGUAUCAGGAAGUAUCAAAAAACGAUGACCAAUCAGUAAACACGACUGUUUACUUUUUUCAAAAAUCGAUAUUUUGUGUAAUCAAUAUCACUUCCGUAAGUUUGGAAUCAAUAUUAGGUUAAGACAUCUGUCAGUAAUACUUUAUCUGUUUUGAGAAGAAUUAAGAAUCUCUUUUUCCACAGUUAAAUAUUUUUUAUUAUUUGGCAACCAAAAUUUGGUAUAAAAUUGUCAUUCAUAUUAAGCACCAAUAAUACCAAAUUUCCAUUUUAUGUUUUGUUUGCUCAGAUUUAUAAAUGCUUUAAAAAAUAGUAAUUCGGAGAUGAGUGAAAUGCAUAACAAAAUUUUUUAUUGUUGGCUAAUUUGAACUGACUAUAUUUUAGUAUUUAAUUUACAACAUAAAUGACAACUUUUCUCAUUACCUUAUUCUCAAAAAAUGUUUAAUAAUUACAAGUGCAAAACAGAAUUUUCAAAAUUCAAAUGACAAUUUUUUUGCGAGAGGUUACUAAUUAUACGAAAAAAAAAGCGCGCUGCGAAACGCCGCCAUCUUGAAUCCGCGAGGCGUCACAAGCGACCUUUUUGUAAAAAAAGGCCUAAGUCCGAGUUUAAUACAUACGUAUUAAGUGGGAGACAGCGGUGAUUAAGUAGAGAGAGAAAAUCAAACGAAGAUACACUUUAAAACAACGGGUUAAGGUUUACUUUUUAUAAAAGGAAUUUCUGUUGUUUUUUUCCAUUUAAGCGCAUAGGGAUCGGCGAGGCACAUUUAGCGGUCCCACCCUCGUAGGGAAAAGAUUUCUUAUAUGGUGAUAUAGAGGUGAUAUAUUAUUAAUAUCUGUGGGGUUGCGGAGUGUGUAAUGGAAAUAGAAACGAGGUUUUAUCGUUGAACACAAUGCCGCAAAUAUUACAGAAUUUUUCCGACCAUUUUAAGCUAUUUUUAUCGGUGUAUUAUUUAAAAUAUAAUUUACUAUUUCAUCCAUUGGUCCACAUUUAUAUUAAACUCUAAUUAUAUUAUAUUCAUUAAUUAAUUGUAACAUUUAAAUUUAAAAUAAAUAUAACGAUACAAAAUAAGUAAAAGCUUAACCUCCGCCACAAUUAUGAGAUAUUGUUGCACAAAUUUUAAAAUUAACUUAACACUGAAAUUUUAAACAAAUUAUUUGGAUGUGUUUCUCAUUCCUCGGAUUUAGUUUUGCGCGGGAACGAUAAAGUUUCUGUUGUGUCGCCUCGCAUAAUGCAGUAUUCAAGGCUCAAACAGAAUGCCAUUUUUGUGGUUAAAAUGAAAUAACGUUCGGUAUUAAAAGUUACAUUAAAUGGAUACAAAAGGAUUUUUUCAUUCUAUUACUUUGAAUUUAUUUAAGAAACAAAAGAAUGGUAUGCGAUAACAAAACAAAUUAUGAAAUCGAUAUCCAUAAUUUCUGUACGUACCUACUAUAUUUUAGUAGGCAUUUGCAAAAAUAUUUCAAUUUCAUAAAUUGAUUAUACGCCAUAAUUACAAAAUAAUUAAAAAUAGUGCCUUGACAUAAACAGCUCAUGCUUAAAAAGAAAAAUCAUUCCUUAGCGCGCUUUUUUUGACGAAAAAAGCACCUUUGGUAUCAUAUUCAAAUACCGUGUGACAUUGAUAAUAUUUUAUCUUUUACAUUUGCUGUAUCAUUCUAAUUUAACAUAAAUUAUUAUAUAAAAAGUAUAAAAUCCCGAAACAAACCUUUUUUUUUAUAAUUAUAUAACUGUCAUUAUCAUAUUAUAUAAAAACAAAUAAUCACAGAAAAGAAUUAAAAAUUAUAAAAUUACAUCUUUUCUUUCUAUUGUAACAAAUAGACAUUUACAAGUUAACUGUAAAAGUCUUCACUGUAAUUAUUAUUUAAGGAUACAAUGAAUGACAAUAAACAUAUAGUAAAUUCAA
rnacentral:misc_RNA from 1 species